CUGGUUCGGAUCUUACAAAUCCUACGUCCAGUCGCUUAUCUCAAACUGAGAUAAACAGUUCAUUAAGCAUAAAACAAUUACAAAUUACAAUCACAAAGAAACAAUUUGUAAGAGUUUAGAAACCACCUCUCUUGAUACCACAAGAGAUGAACCUGCACCUCCUUUGAGUCUUCACAAAGGAUGAGACACCUCCUCCGAAUACUUCACGAAGGAUGAAACACCUCCUCUGAAUACUUCACGAAGGAUGAUCCUCUUCCACACACCUCCUUAGACGCACCAAGGAUGAACCAGUUAUUCCUCC
rnacentral:lncRNA from 1 species